CAUGGUGACUUUGGCGAGCGGGCCCACCUCUUCCCAUUCCGAACAGAGAAGUUAAGCCGCUCAGCGCUGAUGGUACUGCACUACAAUGCGGGAGAGUAAGUCGUCGCCAGAU
rnacentral:rRNA from 1 species